rnacentral:rRNA from 1 species
GGUUAAGUAGGUGCCAGCGGGGGGGGUAAUAGGUAGGGGGCGGGCGUUAGUCGGAAGUACGGGGCGUAAAGCGGGGGCAGGCGGGGAUGUAAGACAGUUGGGAAAUCCCCGGGCUUAACCUGGGAACUGAAUCUGUGACUGCAUUGCUGGAGUGCGGCAGAGGGGGAUGGAAUUCCGCGUGUAGCAGUGAAAUGCGUAGAUAUGCGGAGGAACACCGAUGGCGAAGGCAAUCCCCUGGGCCUGCACUGACGCUCAUGCACGAAAGCGUGGGGAGCAAACAGGAUUAGAUACCCCAGAGUC